rnacentral:rRNA from 1 species
AAGGUUUCCGUAGGUGAACCUGCGGAAGGAUCAUUAUUGAACAAACCGGCGGGCUAAGUUGCUGGCCUCCUCGGAGGCAUGUGCACGGUCCGCCAUUGUUUCAUCCUUCUUCCACCUGUGCACUUCUGUGGGCCCACUCCAGCGCGCACACCGCGUGCUGGAAUCUGGUGCCUACGUUUUCACUAUCCACACCAUUGAAUGUUCAGAAUGUAUGUAUCAGGCAUUCGUGCCUAUAAAACCUUAUACAACUUUCAACAACGGAUCUCUUGGCUCUCGCAUCGAUGAAGAACGCAGCGAAAUGCGAUAAGUAAUGUGAAUUGCAGAAUUCAGUGAAUCAUCGAAUCUUUGAACGCACCUUGCGCUCCUUGGUAUUCCGAGGAGCAUGCCUGUUUGAGUGUCAUUAAAUCAUCAACCACCUCAUCUUUGAGAGGGUUGGACUUGGAGGCUCUGCUGGCCCCGACAGGGACCGGCUCCUCUGAAAAGCAUUAGCAGGGACCUAUCUCGUGUGCAACCGCUUGCAGCAUUCUCUGCAGCCUUGUGUGACUAGUAGUCAUUGACACUUGGUGUGGUUGCAUCGUAUCCCAGCUUCCAGCCGUCCACUUGUGGACAAUUCACCUGACCAAUUGACCUCAAAUCAGGUAGGACUACCCGCUGAACUUA